rnacentral:rRNA from 1 species
CUCCGGGCCUCCGGGCGUCCGCCGGGGAAAACCAAACCCUGAUUUAAUCGUAUUUCUCUGAGGGGCGAAAGCCCGAAAACAAAAUGAAUCAAAACUUUCAACAACGGAUCUCUUGGCUCUGGCAUCGAUGAAGAACGCAGCGAAAUGCGAUAAGUAAUGUGAAUUGCAGAAUUCAGUGAAUCAUCGAAUCUUUGAACGCACAUUGCGCCCGCCGGCACUCCGGCGGGCAUGCCUGUCCGAGCGUCAUUUCAACCCUCAGGCCCACCCUUCCGGGGGAGCGGGCCUGGUGCUGGGGAUCGGCGGCCCUCGCGGCCCCCGUCCCUCAAAUACAGUGGCGGUCGCGCCGCAGCCUCCCCUGCGUAGUAGCACAACCUCGCACCGGAGAGCGGAACGACCACGCCGUGAAACCCCCAAUUUUUUAAGGUUGACCUCGGAUCAGGUAGGAAUACCCGCUGAACU